UAAAAUCAUGACAGAAAGAAUUAGCAUGACUAAACAACACAGCACGAAAAUCUGCAUAUAGUGGACAUUUCAAAAUUACAUGUUUCUCAUCUUCAAGAUCAUUACAACUAAAACAUAUUCUUUCAAAUAGGUAAGUUCUGAUACCGGCCCGUUUCAAUUUUUAGGGGCGCAACACCACAGCGAAAUUUUGCAAAAGCACUUCUAUAUUUCCCUGCAAUAGUUUUACAAAUGUAAUUUUCUACCUUAAUUCUGUUUAAAUAAUUUAUAAGUACGAAGUUUGGCAUAUUCAUUCGAAACCAACUUAUUAUGCCAUUCAGUUUUAUAUAAAUCAAUAGCUAAGCAUUCUA
rnacentral:lncRNA from 1 species